UCAUCUUGAAUGCAUUUUCUCUCUCUUAUUUUUUCUAGGGUUUCAGUUCUUUCCCGUCGAUAUCAUUUCCAUGGGAAAUCUUUCUCACACUUGGAAUCAGAAGCAGGACUCUGAUCCAUAACUGAACGGCAAAUAAGUCGCUGUUGAAUAUGUGGAGAAACAGAUGAGACUUGCCGGCUUUGUUUUGAUGCUCGUGCUUGGAAGACACUGAAUGAUCAGAUUGUUCUCUUGUCAAAGAGACGUGGUCAGUUAAAGCAGGUGCAAAGAAAAAUGAAGGGAUCAUUCUAGUUGCUGAUAGUAUGGCUGUAACCGCAAUGGUCCAGCUAGCAAUGCAAUAUAUUGAAACUAAGAUUGAGCUAAUUAAGACCCUUAAUAGCGUAUCUGCUGGAAAGAUAUAUGUUGAAAUAGAGAGAGCACAUUUGAUUAAGAGGCUUGCAAAGAUUAAGGAAGAACAAGGACAAGAGACAUAUGCAAGAAUGCAUGGAAGGUAAUCCAAGUGCUAAAACAAUGAAAAACAUGUCAAGGGAUUUUGCUGUUCUUACUAUUCAUUUCACAAUGAGUUCCCCUAAGGUGGUAUCCUCUUGAAUCUCACAGGAAUAAAGUGCCACGUGGGUCACUUCUAGAGUUCUAAUCGGGGGAGUCUGAGACUACGAAUGAGAUCGCGACGAGAAUGUCGAAUGACUAAGUUGGAGAGAUUGUGAUGUCCCACAUUGGGAAAUCACACUAAAUAUGAACUUCUUAUAAUAGUGAAAUCAAUAU